CUCCAUGUGAGUUUGUGAGGGGAUUGAUUUCUCUUCCUGACUGCUCUGAACUGGAAACUCAAAGCAGAUGUGAGAACCACAAUUAAUUUCCAUCACCUCGAGAAGUCUGACUUUAGAGGAUUUAACAGCGUCUAAACAGUUACAAAAGAUCCCAAAUGGACUGUCCAUGAGAGAGAGGACCAGACUUCACGCUGCAAGUCGGAGCUCGGCCUUUAUUUCAGGACUGCCUGAGUAAUGUGAGGCUUUGGCAGCUCAAUGAAGCUGGCUGUGUGCCAGAAGACAUUGGUCACAGAUUGGUCUUCUUGAGAUUGAAAGACUUGGAUUACUUGUGGAUUAUUGUGAUGUUUUUAUCAGCUGUUUGGACUCUCUUUCUGACGGCACCCAUUCACUGCAGAGCAUCCAUUGCUGAGACACUGAUGCAGAGACACAUUUCUCCAAACCUCAUGAAGAAACAAACUCAUCUACAUUCUUGACUGGACCGCCUGCCAUCUGUGCGCUUGUGUCUUAUGUGUGGACGGCCGAGCCUGACGGGGGCUGGACGCUUUAUUUAGUAAAUCAACAUACCAACUACUGAGCUGAGCUCACAGCUGGGAAACAAUCCUAUCUAUCGGAACCAUUUUCCCAACGGCAGGCCUUGCUGGCAGUUACAGCAAAUACUUGCACAAACGCAAACA